rnacentral:tRNA from 1 species
GCCUUUGUGGUGUAAUGGUCAGCACACGCGGCGGGUAUUCGAGAGGCCCGAGGUUCAAAUCCCGGCAAAGACA